rnacentral:rRNA from 3 species
GGUUUCCGUAGGUGAACCUGCGGAAGGAUCAUUGUCAA